CUGAAAAUCUUAUUACUGUUAGAACAACUCCUCAAAAAAGUGUUGAAGUGUAUCGCAUUCCAAGAGUGUCUAUAAACGAUGCAGGUGUUUACAGAUGUGAAGUCGAUGGAAAAAAUAACAUGAAAAUUUUAUCCGAUAUACGCAUUCUAGAAGUCAUAGAAAGAAAAGCUUCUAAAUUUAAAUCCAUGAAGAUAUUUUUUCAUUUUAAUGAAGCUGAUAAAGCUGAGAUAACGCUUUAUGUUGAGGAAUUUCCAUUUCCAAAUAUCACUUGUUAUAAGGAGGGCAAAGAAAUUAUAUUUUGUAUUGGAAAGAAAAUGAAAAAUAUUCCAAAUAU